CUAGAGAGAGAAGUAGUGCCCGUACCGCAAACCGACACAGGUAGAUGAGGAGAGAAUCCUAAGGCCGGCGGAAGAAUCACAGUUAAGGAACUAGGCAAAUUGACCCCGUAACUUAGGGAGAAGGGGUGCCUGCGAGAGCAGGCCGCAGAGAAUAGGCCCAAGCAACUGUUUAGCAAAAACACAGGUCUCUGCUAAAGCGUAAGCUGAUGUAUAGGGGCUGACGCCUGCCCGGUGCUGGAAGGUUAAGGGGAACACUUAGCGCAAGCGAAGGUGUGAACUUAAGCCCCAGUAAACGGCGGCCGUAACUAUAACGGUCCUAAGGUAGCGAAAUUCCUUGUCAGGUAAGUUCUGACCCGCACGAAUGGCGUAAUGACUUGGGCACUGUCUCAACUGCAAAUCCGGCGAAGUUGUAGUGCGAGUGAAGAUGCUCGCUACCCGCGAUUGGACGGAAAGACCCCGUAGAGCUUUACUGUAGCUUAGCAUUGAGUUUCGAUAUUGUCUGUACAGGAUAGGUGGGAGACUGAGAAGCUAGGGCGUCAGCCUUAGUGGAGUCAACCUUGGGAUACCACCCUGACAGUAUUGGGAUUCUAACCGGACGCCAUGAAUCUGGUGACGGGACAUUGUUAGGUGGGCAGUUUGACUGGGGCGGUCGCCUCCUAAAAAGUAACGGAGGCGCCCAAAGGUUCCCUCAGAACGGUCGGAAAUCGUUCGAAGAGUGCAAAGGCAGAAGGGAGCCUGACUGCGACACCCACAAGUGGAGCAGGGACGAAAGUCGGGCUUAGUGAUCCGGUGGUACCUCGUGGGAGGGCCAUCGCUCAACGGAUAAAAGCUACCUCGGGGAUAACAGGCUGAUCUCCCCCAAGAGUCCACAUCGACGGGGAGGUUUGGCACCUCGAUGUCGGCUCGUCGCAUCCUGGGGCUGUAGUCGGUCCCAAGGGUUGGGCUGUUCGCCCAUUAAAGCGGCACGCGAGCUGGGUUCAGA
rnacentral:rRNA from 1 species